rnacentral:RNase_P_RNA from 1 species
CUAGACGGUUAUAUGGUCACCUUUUAAAGGAGGAAAGUCCGGACUCACCAGAACACCAAAGCCGGUUAAUAGCCGGCGGGGGAGACCCUAGGGAAAGUGCAACAGAAAAAAAACCGCCAUAAAUAAUGGUAAGGGUGAAAAGGUAGGGUAAGAGCCUACCGCAUUUAUGGUAACAUAAAUGGCAUUGUAAACCCCUUUGGGAGCAAGUCCAAAAAAGCUUAGUCUUUUGACAGGUGUGGUUCUGCAUUAAGCAUGGUAGGACGCUAGAGAUUGCUGGUAACAGUUAUCCAAGAUUAAUGACCAUAGCCUUCAUAAUUCAUGAAGGGACAGAAUCCGGCUUACAGACCGUCUAGUAUU